AGAGAACAGUAGGAUGUUCUUAUUCACUAGUCAUUUGAUACCCCACACCCAUGGUCCCAGCUUUAUCCAAGCACAAAGCCCAAAUGCGGUGAUGAGCUGUAUCGUGCUGAGGACUUCGUUACAUUGCGCUUAGCCGCAUUUUGUUCGAUGUGCCUGAGAUGCUAAUGCUGCCCUGAGUUAAAAUAUCCAUAUUACAUAGACAUUUAUUUCCUUGUAUAGUGGAAAGAUGAGCAGGUGUACUCAUAGCCCGAUUGAACGGGCUUGCAUUACAGCUAUUGGUUGGAAAUAAAAGUUUGUGUUUGUGA